UACGGGGGGGGGCAAGCGUUGUUCGGAAUUACUGGGCGUAAAGGGCUCGUAGGCGGCCAACUAAGUCAGACGUGAAAUCCCCAGGCUCAACCUGGGAACUGCGUCUGAUACUGGAUGGCUUGAAUCCGGGAGAGGGGAUGCAGAAUUCCAGGUGUAGCGGUGAAAUGCGUAGAUAUCUGGAGGAAUACCGGUGGCGAAGGCGGCAUCCUGGACCGGCAUUGACGCUGAGGAGCGAAAAGCUAGGGGGAGCAAACGGGG
rnacentral:rRNA from 1 species